GUUAAUAAUGGGCAUUUUUAAGUCUUUUGUCAUUUACAGACAAUUAUUUUACACUGAUGCUUUGGCAAAACUUGUGCCUAUAAAAGUACUUCAUUGGGGGCAGCCUGGUGGCACAGUGGUUAAGUUCGCGCAUUCCACUUCAGAGGCCUGAGGUUUGCCAGUUUGGAUCCUGGGCGAGGGCCUACGCACCAUUCGUCACGCCGUGGUGUGGCAGUGUCUUACACAGAAUAACUAGAAGGACUUACAACUAGGAUAUACAACUAUGUACUGGAACUUUGGGGAGAAAAAGAAAAAGACGAAGAUUGGCAACAGACGUUAGCUCAGGGCCAAUAGAAAAGACUUUGACAAGUACUCCAGAACACAGGUUUUUGAUAACUUUAGGAUCAUAACACUGAACUGGCUGGGAAUUUCUAAAAUCCUAAUGGGAAACUGAUUGCUUUGACAUUUUGUUUUUCAUAUUCAAAGGAGCUCUUUUUCUCCUCUUCUUUGAGCUCUCUAUAACUUACAGCAAUUUGGUAAAUCGUACCUUUGCAACAAAGGUUGAAGCAUUUAUCUUUUUCUCACUACCUGAUCUCUCCAGAAUUAUGCAGCUCUUAUUAAAUAUUCUUAUUUUUAUGACAAUAUAUGUAUUUGCAUAAAUUCAAUGAGGAUCUGUUCUCUUUAUAAUAGGAUUCCCAAAGCACCUGGCCCCAGCUUCCUUUGAUUUGCAGCUGAUAAAAGAGGACGUACUUCGGUUUUGCAAAGGCCUAAUCAAAUCCACAGAGAAUGAUUGUACUCUGGUAGAACAAUCUUUCCACAGCGCGCAUUCCAGAGACAAAAACGCCGGACAUCAUAAUAUGCAGCCCAGAGCUUUCGUCUGCUGAAAAGACACCUUUAGAAAGACUCCCUCCACUCUCACCGGAAGAUUCACGUGUUACAUCUAAAGAAAGCGCCAAACCCUGACUAGACCUGCACACCAACUGGCGACCUGAAAGUAGGAUUUCCAGGAAGUGAAGCAGGCGAUAGCGGAGCAGACAGCUUUCCCAAGAUUCUGGACCAGCCCUAAAAAUCACGAGCAAAAGGAGAAAAUGUGAAACAAGUUACAACAGUGCCUCUAUUUUGUACGCUGAACUCCAUCUUGUUAAAAAAAUAAGAAACUGUGCUGACCUUGCUGACUUGCUAAAAGGGACUUAUUUGCUGAGAAAGGACUUUCUGAAGGACUGUGCAAAAAAUAUGCUUUUUCUGGUAGCAACAAGAUGUCUCUGAGUAAGCCAACGAACUGUAACACAAAUUUAUCCUCUAAGUCUAAUAAACAACUGAGGUAAUUAUUCUAGGAUCUCCUUUUUGCUAACAAAAACUCCUGACCUUUACUUCUCUGGGGGGCACUUUUCCAGUUGUCACUAUAAACUGUGUUCCCUGGGUUGCGA